GAUGAACGCUAGCGGCAGGCUUAAUACAUGCAAGUCGUGGGGCAGCAUGAGUAGCAAUACUUGAUGGCGACCGGCAAACGGGUGAGGAACACGUACACAACCUUCCUUCAAGCGGGGAAUAGCCCAGAGAAAUUUGGAUUAAUACCCCAUAAUAUAUUUGAUAAGGCAUCUUAUUAAAUAUUAAAGCUUCGGCACUUGAUGAUGGGUGUGCGGCUGAUUAGAUAGUUGGCGGGGUAACGGCCCACCAAGUCUACGAUCAGUAGCUGAUGUGAGAGCAUGAUCAGCCACACGGGCACUGAGACACGGGCCCGACUCCUACGGGAGGCAGCAGUAAGGAAUAUUGGACAAUGGACGAAAGUCUGAUCCAGCCAUGCCGCGUGAAGGAUUAAGGUCCUCUGGAUUGUAAACUUCUUUUAUAUGGGACGAAAAAGGGACAUUCUUGUUCACUUGACGGUACCAUAUGAAUAAGCACCGGCUAACUCCGUGCCAG
rnacentral:rRNA from 1 species